rnacentral:rRNA from 1 species
AACGAACGCUGGCGGCAUGCCUAACACAUGCAAGUCGAACGAGACCUUCGGGUCUAGUGGCGCACGGGUGCGUAACGCGUGGGAACCUGCCCUUAGGUUCGGAAUAACUCCCCGAAAGGGGUGCUAAUACCGGAUAAUGUCUUCGGACCAAAGAUUUAUCGCGUUUGGAUGGGCCCGCGUUGGAUUAGCUAGUUGGUAGGGUAAAAGCCUACCAAGGCGACGAUCCAUAGCUGGUCUGAGAGGAUGAUCAGCCACACUGGGACUGAGACACGGCCCAGACUACUACGGGAGGCAGCAGUGGGGAAUAUUGGACAAUGGGCGAAAGCCUGAUCCAGCAAUGCCGCGUGAGUGAUGAAGGCCUUAGGGUUGUAAAGCUCUUUUACCCGGGAUGAUAAUGACAGUACCGGGAGAAUAAGCACCGGCUAACUCCGUG